UCCACGACCGAACAGAGAGAGAGAAAACUGUCGCUACACACGCACACACACGCCUCCGUUUCUCCUCUCUCCCCAAGUCGCUCCCGAUCCCAUCUCUCUCCAUGAAAAGUUGCCGCCGCCGCCGGCUGUGCUCGUCACCCCGCCUCCUCUCCAUCCGCUGCCGCGCGCAGAUCUAGGUGAGGCGUGUCUCCCGUCCCUUGCGCCCGUCGUGGAAGAGAGGGAGAGAGAAAGAGAGAGGUGGGAGAGAGAGGGAGGAGCAGACAACGGGGGCGCUGGCCUAAUCGCCGAUAGUGGAAGAUGAGGUCGUGGUUCCGACGCAUCGCGGGUCGGCGAUGCUGAGGCACGGCCGUCGACUUCCUUGUUUGCUUCUGGCCGCGGGCGCACCUUCUCCUCAUGUCACCCAAGAUGGUCUGUAGUCCAUCACGGUCAUCAUAACUCCAAACGCCGCCGUCGUCAUCUGACGUGCAGUUCAGGGCGGCCACCAGAAAGAGCCUGAUAUGCCGCCGUUAUGGAGAAGCUCUCGGUUAUGGUUAGGGUAAAUGGCGAUGAUUUCGGAUAAUCUGGUCUAAGAGCUUGUGGAGACGAAAAAAUAAUCCUAAUCAAGCAGUUUGGGAACAACAAUGCCAAGAUUAAGUUCAGCAAGGAAGCCAAACGACAUUUUACAGUGUCUACUCUCACAAGUACUCUGCUAAUUUGCUUGGUAGUUGUUUGCCCUCUCCUGAUCGAGAUGAAUUAUGGAUGUCUCUUGUGCCACUGAUAGAUUGGUUUGGUGGUUGGUCUGAUUUUUCACGCCUGGUAAACAAGAAGGUUGCUAGCUGCUUAUAAAGAUAAGCCCGUGAGGAGAACUGGAUAUAUAUGUAAUGUUAACUCAUGUUCAACUGUUUUGCCAUUUCCCCUGAAACUAUGCAACUGCGACUGCUCCAGUCUUUGUUGAUCUUAAUGUAAGACCAAGAGAUGAAGUGUAUUGCUUAUCAAAUUCUGUUGUUUUCUUGUCAGAUGAAAGAAUUUAAUUUUAGGAUGAAAAUUUAGCAUUUAACAAAUCAAGCGGUCAAGCCACUAAAUCAUGAUCCUUUAAUGUUAUAGUACAGCUAUGAAAGGAUGAGAUACUUUUGGUUGCAUGCUUAAAGAGAACUACUUGGUACCACAAAAACUGGGCACCGAAGUAAUUUUGAUUGGAUAAUAAUUUAUGCACCACAACAUAAGUGGAUAAACUCCUCUCACAUGUUUGCUAUUUCCUGCAAACUUUUCCUUUUAUUUGUGCAGGAACUUCUCAGUAUAUAUUUCCUUUCCGUUUGCAAUCUGUGGACCAUCACUCUGUGUAGUACAGUCAGUAUAUACUUUUCCUUUUAUUUUUGAACUUUUAAACUACCUUAGAAGCGACGAUGAAAACUUAACAUCAGUGCACUUUUCUAUAUAUUGUAUUCUGACUACCCUACUCAAUCGCUAAUCCAGCGAGGUUAAAAGCUUGCCUUGCCUUUUGACUUUUUUUCUUGUGCUGGUAAGAACAAAUGCCAGUUGUUAUCCUCUUGUCAUGGCCCUAUUAAAUACAGUUAUCUCUGUAUAAAAAAUCACAUAUAUAAUGUGUUUCAUAAUAGCAUUGUAGGCAAAGGUUUGAAACACGCAGUGAUCAAUAUUUAGACAACAAUUUUCAGUAUAGUAUUCUGAGGAAUACUAGAUUCGUGUGUUGUUUCAUAUGCUGUAGUUUUCUGCUUGACAUGAAUUUUUCACAUGGAAAAGGGGCUAAGUUUGGUGGGCUUUGUAUUUCUCAUCACUUUGUGUUUAUUAUUUUGUAGUCCUUAAUUGCCAUCGUUAAGGUCAAUUAGUGCUAGCAGUUAAUGCUCUCUGUUCAAUUCUGGGGUGGCAGACCAAGCAUUGUAGAGCUUCGCAUUUUAAGAAUCUCAGAUAGGAAUUUUAGUAACUUGAGAAGGUUGGCCGCCGAGAACUUCAUUUAUGCACACAACCAUCCAUGGAUUAGAUAGGAUGUAUGAUGCAGUGGCUACAUCGACCACCCUGAGCUCGCCGAUGAAUCCGGCCGGGCACAUGAUGCCAUUAACAGCAAGAAUGACAGUGUACCUUCGUGCAACAUUUUUGAGCUAUCAUGCUCUUAUCUUACCAAAUGGUAUCAUUGCCACCUAGCAAAGAAUGUUGAUACUUGAGCGCACCCUCUGAUAUAUACUUUCUAGCCAGCUACAGGAAUGAGAACCAGCAGGAAACAGAAUGCAAGGCUCGUUAGAUGGGUACCAAGAAAAAGGCUGGCCCCAAAACCUGCAAUGUGUUCCUUCUGUUUGAAACCUCGUGGACUCAAGCUUCACGUACAAUCCAACACAGAGAUCACAUAAAAAAUUCCAAGCAUGGCAGGCGGAAACAAUAGAGAAAAUGAGAGGAAGACAAUAAACAUGUACAAUGACAUGGUGAGAGGGAAAAGGAAAUACAAUGACAUUCAGUUUAUUUUAACCCAUUCUCUCUUCAUUCUUUCUCUGUCGUUCUCUUUUCUUUCUCACCCUUAUGUCUAAAAUAAACCGGAAGAGCAUGGCAGAGGAAGACAAUAAACAUGUACAAUGACAUGGUAAAA